rnacentral:rRNA from 1 species
UUCGGGUGCCGGCGAGUGGCGAACGGGUGAGUAAUGCAUCGGAACGUGCCAUUGAGUGGGGGAUAACGUAGCGAAAGUUGCGCUAAUACCGCAUAUUCUGUGCGCAGGAAAGCAGGGGACCGCAAGGCCUUGCGCUCUUUGAGCGGCCGAUGUCAGAUUAGCUAGUUGGUGAGGUAACGGCUUACCAAGGCGACGAUCUGUAGCGGGUCUGAGAGGAUGAUCCGCCACACUGGAACUGAGACACGGUCCAGACUCCUACGGGAGGCAGCAGUGGGGAAUUUUGGACAAUGGGGGCAACCCUGAUCCAGCCAUGCCGCGUGAGUGAAGAAGGCCUUCGGGUUGUAAAGCUCUUUCGGCCGGGAAGAAAUCGCAUGGGUUAAUACCCUGUGUGGAUGACGGUACCGGCAUAAGAAGCACCGGCUAACUACGUGCCAGCAGCCGCGGUAAUACGUAGGGUGCGAGCGUUAAUCGGAAUUACUGGGC